UACGUAGGUGGCAAGCGUUGUCCGGAUUUACUGGGCGUAAAGAGCGCGCAGGCGGUCGUUUCAAGUCGAGUGUGAAAGCCCCCGGCUCAACUGGGGAGGGUCACUCGAUACUGAUCGACUCGAAGGCAGGAGAGGGUAGUGGAAUUCCCGGUGUAGUGGUGAAAUGCGUAGAUAUCGGGAGGAACACCAGUGGCGAAGGCGACUACCUGGCCUGUUCUUGACGCUGAGGCGCGAAAGCUAGGGGAGCAAACGGG
rnacentral:rRNA from 1 species